rnacentral:lncRNA from 1 species
AGGAGACUCUAUCGUAUUUUCUUUAUUGUUUUUCUCGUUUUUCCUUUAUCGUUUUUUCUUUGCUGUUUUUAGAUAGUUUAUUUCUUUUUAUUUCCUUUUAGUUGUUUAUUUUGCUUUUUAGUAUAAUGCAUGAGUCUGACGAGUCACCAAAUAUAAUAGAUCUUUAGUACAAUCCUACCUCCCCAUACCUUUAGCCUCACCACCGGAAAAAAAAUUGCAAAAGAAAAUAGUGUUAUUCCAAAAGUUUUCAGGUUUUAAAGACAUGUUUU